GAUUUCCUAGGAUCAAGCCUGGAAAAUGGCUAGUAUUCUACCAGCUUUGGAAAUGGGAGGGAAAACAAGCCCAGUAGAGAUGCACAUUCCAUUCCCAGUUUACUCAGUAGCUGGUGAUUGGAAGAUACCCUGCGACAGCG
rnacentral:snoRNA from 1 species